rnacentral:lncRNA from 10 species
GCUUUCCAAUCCUCCUAGCAACUCACAGACAGCCAGUCAGACACCUCAGGGUGUCCUCAUAAGCAACAGAAAAGAUGCUGAGACACAAGGAGGAAGGGAAAUGAAGACAGAGGCACCACAUUUUCUUUAUCUUUUUGUCCUUUGACUCACAUUUGGGUUGUUUCCACCUUUUGUCUAUUACACAUAAUGCUGCUAUAAACAGUCAUGUGUGAGUUUCUAUAUGUACAUAUGUUUUCAUUUCUCUUGAGUAUCUACUUAGGAGUGAAUUGCUGGGUCAUAUGGUAGCCUUAUAGUUUAAUCAGUUGAAGAGCUGCCAGACAGUUUUCCAAAGUGGCCACACCAUUUUAAACUCCCAUAAGUAGUGUAUGAGGGUUUUAAUUUCUUCACAUCCAACAC